rnacentral:lncRNA from 1 species
UAUUGGGUUAGUGUAACUCACACAUUCAUUAACUAUUUCAGAUUAAGAGAACUAAAACCCAGAUCCCAAUCAAUAAGAGGGUUGUGAAUAGUUCACCACCCGGGCUCCUUCAAAAGCUUGUGAAGGUCAUUUUAAGAUGCUCAGUUGUUUACUUUUCGUUUAUUUCUUUAAUUUUCGUUUGUUCUUUUAGAAGAGACAUUCUCAUAAUUCUAUUGGGCAUUCUAAAUUAU